UGAAAACAUAUUAUCGUCAUUCAGUUAAAAUGCUCUAAAUCAUAUACACUAUAGGAAGUAAUCUAAUUAUAUAACAUUAACUUUAUUAAUUCACAAAGUAAUUAUGAAGACCAUAUAAACGAAGCUGAUAAAUCUCUAUAUCCUUGUUUUUUCCAUACAUUAUUUCUUUCCUUCAGUUGUAUGCAUCAUUUAUUUAUACUAAAAAUUAUUAAUAGAUUGACUAUUUAAAACCAGAAACGAAGGAAACAGAAGAGAUAAAUAAAGAAAGAAAACCAACGAUUUCAUAAGAGCCAAUGAAAACAAUAUUGCUGUUAUAAGCAACCGAAAAUAUAUUUAACAUCUGACACAUAUCCAGUAAAAUUAUAAGAAACAUUUUCUUGCAUAUUAUUAAACCCAAAUCCCAAAUGACCAGAACGAAGUCUAGUGAUUCAAAGCUUAUGACUUUGACAAACCUUUGAAUGCAACUUCAUCCAUUUCUUUUUUUACUUUCUUAUAUAAUUCCAUCGUUGCUUGGGCAUCCUGGACGGAAGAAUGCUGUCCAGAUUGAAUGUCACGCCCAAGAAUCACUUCAGCAAGUUUUUUAAGCCCUGGUGUCCUUCCCUUGGCUAAUUUCCGAUACCCAGAAAAUCUGCUGGUAUCACGAAUCAUUCUUCUUGGAUGCGAUAAAAGUAGUACUUUGAGAUCGUUAUGGACAGCAUGUCCAACCAAUACUCGAUUGUCGAGUAUCUUAGCAACUUCUGCUUGUACUUUUUCAAAUGAAGGUGCAUCCCGCAUGUGAAAUGACUUGACACCACUGACCCAUGUUCUCCAAUCCGUAACCUUUUCUUUAGGACGGACAUAAGUAUCAUACACGACAUGACCAUGAUAAUUAACUAUACUGACGCGUGCAAGAACUGACAUGUCAUCUGCCACCCCAACCAUUUCACAAUCCAUUGCAAUAUAUUUCCCCAAUGUUUCCAAAUUGGUUUUUCUGGUAAGCUUGGAAGCAUCCACGCCAUAUGCGUCAAGGACUUGAGAUUCAGGGAUAUCAUUUUCCUUAGCAAAUUUCUUUAAUUCAUUCAUGCGUUUUUUAUCGACGAUAUAAGAAUUCUCAUUCUCAUUGUUUUUACCUUUCACACUUUUAAGGUAUUUCUUUUCAUUAGAAUGCUUUUUUUCAACCCGUCCACUCUUAGCGCUGUCGAGUUUCUAAACAACCAAUACCGUUAGUAUACUUAAACAAGAAUCUUAAAUGACUUAAUGGAAACUAUAGCCUUUCAUACCUUCUUUAACUUUUCCCAAUUGGAAGAAGACAUUGCUUGUGCAUAAGAGCCAAAGUUGGUGCAAGAAGCAAUUUGCAACCUCUUUCAAUAUGAUUCUCAACGCGGUAUCACAAAUAUUUUAUCACAUUUUAGCACAUUUCAUUAUUUUGAAUAAAGCGUUGAUGAUAGUACGUUACGUUAAGUAUCAUUAUAUAAGUC